CGGAGUCCCUCGAGAGAUGUCCCUGAUCUGCUAUUACUGGAAUUUGCAACUCUUGAAAAAAGCUGCCGGGGGCAUGACUCACCGAGUGGAUGUCCAAACCACUGCCUCCACAGCUCACCAUCCUGUCCCCCGAGUCUCCUCCCUCUUUCUGCAGCUGCAACCCGAGAGGCAUUGGUUCCCUCCAGGGAGGGGCCCCGGGACCUGGCGUCAGCAUCCUUGGUGGGCCAGCUGCCUCCACACACUGCAGGUAGCCAGAAUUUCCUGGAUUCCAGGGGGAAAGAAGUCUGUCUGGAAGAGAUCAGACGGUCUCAGCCUCCUCGUGGUCAGCUGUCCAAGUGAUGCUCCAUGAAUGCUCUUAACUUACUGACCAAUUAACAGCCACAGCUGGGCACUGAAUCUGUGCUUGAAACAUGAACAUGGUGAUGACUGCAGUAAUAGUAACAGCUUGUUGGAUAUGCAACCUCUGUUUCCUCCUUUCCAGAAGCUCGGUGAGUUGAUGUAAGGAAAGAGGAAUUUUCCUAUUGUUACGUAACUUCCCCUUUCUCUUUCCUCCUCUUUGGCUUGCUUCCCUGCCCCACAAACAUUAAUUACCUGUCCCUAAAGGAAUAUAUCAUUGAGUCUCAAGAGCACAUGCCCUCAGUAUGAAUGUUUAGUUGGAUUUUCAGGGAGAGCAAAGGCUGGGGUGGGGGUGGGGGGCUGAUGCUUUUGCCUUUGCUGACUCACCUUACAUUUAAAGCAUAAACUGGCCGGACAGAUGGCUCUUGCCCUCUGAUUUUGUGGAAAUGUUAUUUUACUCCUAGGCUCAUCGCUGAUGAUAGAGUAGUGGCAAAAAUGAAAGUUAGGACCACCCACCCUGGCUGUCGCCUGUUGCUGAUGGUGGCGGUGGUGGUGUGUGAAAAGGCUUCUAACACCUUCCAGCCCCAAACCAAAAACUCUUCCUGUCUUUCCAGUUUCUGUUGCUGGCCCCUGCAUCCUCCCAGAGCCUUAUUCUGAACACUAGAAGCCAACUUUGAUUCCUUCUACCCCUGAGUGCUUGCGACAUCCAGUAGACCUUACCUCCCCUGUCUCUUUCCCAGUGUCUCUGCUGUCAUAGCAAUUCUGAGCCACACCAUUCCCUAGUCUGCAACCCCCUACCCCCAUUCAUGCCACACAUCAUCAACAACUUAAGCUUUCUGAAACAACUCUCCAGUUUCAGAGUCUCCCAAUUUAUGCACAAAAAGACAUGUAGACUCAUCAGCUUGACUGUCCGUACCUUCCAAAAGAGGGCCCUAACCUACCUGGCCUAGCCUAUCCCCUAUACAGUGGCAAUUUCCUGCCAAUGAGUAUUUGCUCAGGCUGUCUCUAUGUCC
rnacentral:lncRNA from 1 species